UUUUUUGGAAUUAUUUUACAACUAAUAAUAAUACAAUUUGGUAUGGAAAAUUUAGAUAGAUUUAUAUAAAUUUAUACAUAAAUGUAUAUACAUUUGUACGACUGUUAUACAAAAUAUAAUACUAAGACAUCGUUUCCCACCUGAAAAUUGGAGGCCGAAAUUGUCCCAAUUCCUUAUUUUCUGUUACGAAAUUACGCAUCAAAUUCAUCGACAUUAAAAAAUCAUACCAGCCCAAUUUCUUUCCGAAAUGUAUUUUCACAGUCCCGUUUGAAGGAGAUGGAUUGACCAAUUCCCACUCAUUUUUCAGAGUUCCCAAAAAUAAUCCUGUAAAAAAAAUCACUCACAUUAAAAGAACAGGUCGUUGACGACCCCACACCCCGUACGUCGUCCAUCCCACACCAAUCUCAUCAUCCUCACACCCAGCUCAUCAUUGAUCGCCUCUCCACCUGCGACUCGUCGUCGAUCCCAAACCCAGCUCGUCGUCGAUCUCCUCUCCCCCGAGCUCGUCGUCGUUUUCCUCUUGGUUUUUUUGUACAAUUACUUUUAGGGUUUUUCAAUUUGGGUUCUGAGAUUUAGACUUUUCCGAUUCAGGAGGCGGAGAAAAAAUCAUUGUUUGAAGGGGAAGGGAAGGAUAAACGAUCGAUGGAAGAUCGUUGUAGUUUGAGAUCUGAUUUUAUUGUCUGCAUUUUUUCUUUCGUUGGAGAAGGAAGAAAAGAUAAAAUGAGGGUAGUUGGGUCAUUUUUAGUUGAAACUAAAAUCAACUUUAGUAACACAAAAUUUAUUGGAAAACAUGAAAUUUAAUUACAUCAAAAUAAAAAAUUUCUAUUAAUUUAAAUUUCAAAAACUUAUGAAAUACUCCCAUUUAUAAAAUUGUAGCGGAAAACGAUGCUCUCAUUUUUGUUGUACAAAUUUCUCGGAGUUUUAAAAUGGAUUCAAAACCAGUGUCAAUGACAAUUGUAUUUGAUUGAAUCAUAAUUCUUAGUAUUGUACCUAUUUUGGCGUCUGAAGCCCAUUGUGGAAGGUCUUGCCCAAAAUUGUGGGUGAAGUUUGAUUGAUUUUUGGCCAGUCCAAUGUUCGGUUCAGUUGAUUUGGUUUUCCGGUUCAGUCAACAAUUUCAAAUAUAGAACAUUUUUUUGGUGAAAAAAUAGAGCAUUUGUAUCGUCACCAGAAAACCAACUUAACUAACAUUUCCAUAUAUCCAGUGAAGUUGUUUUAUUGGCAGAGUUGUGUAUUUGGUGACUUAAAAGUUUUAGAUUUGAAUUUAGUACACCUCACGAAAUGAACAUCUGUUGUGUUUACUUUAUAUUUUCUAUCUUGUAUUGACCAAGAAUCUUGAUCCCUACUCCGAAAAAAAACUAUCAUCUCCAUCUUACAAAUUUAUUAGCAACUUUUAAUAGGCUUCAUNNNNNNNNNNNNNNNNNNNNNNNNNNNNNNNNNNNNNNNNNNNNNNNNNNNNNNNNNNNNNNNNNNNNNNNNNAUUAAUUCUCUUAAAAAAGUGUUCUAAUACGUUUAUGUCGUAUAUUAAUAUAUAUGUUUUUUUUAGAAAAAUUGGUUCAAUUGCUUAUGUAGCCUUGCUAAUAAACUUGUUAAUUUAAAAAAUUUUAACAAAAUUUUUAAUUUAAUAAAUACUCUUUCAUCCUUAACAAUUGCUUAUUAAAUACUAAUUUAUCCACCACAACCACUAAGGAUGAAUUGUUCGACCUAAUUAUUUUGUAAAAAACUUAACCAACCCAGGACAAUUAUUUGCAAUAAUUUUAAAGACAUAUGGUGUGUAAGAAAUUUGGAUAUUGUGUGCAAUAAUUCUGUAGACAAGAGGAAGAAUAAGUAAAGGUUGUCCACAGCACUACUGCACUACCUCCAUAACCACAAACUUCAGCACCAUCACCAUGACUGCAACCCAUCCACACCUCACACUGCAAUCCAUAGCUGUCAACGUCGCCACUGCCGCUAACAUCUUCAUUGUCGCCAAUGUCACUUUCGCCGCCAACAUCUUCAUUGUCGUUGUCGUUAUGCUGUUUAUCGCCACAGCCGUUACACCCCUGUCCCUUCCAAAAAUCACGGCCAGGAUAUCAUCCAUGCGCAACCAGCUGGUAAGCCAGGGACAAGCAGUCUGAUUUUCUAAGUUUAAGAGUUGGACCGGCUAAUAUUUUACCCUUCCUUAACAGUUCGAUUAUAAAUGUUGCUGUUCGCACCCAAGGUCGUUAGAUUUUGUAAAUAGGGGGAAAUUUUCAAUUUGUAGAAUUUAAAAUUGAAGAGAUUUCCCAAUUGCUAUAUAUUUUAAUUUCAUGUUUUGGGUUAAUUUUAGGAUAUUGAAUUUGCCUUAAAUUACAACACAAAAUAAUCAAAUAAUCUCUGUAAUCCCUAUAUCAGAUGCCCUCAUCUAUCGUCUUCCUUAUCACAGCCGCCUCCUCCCUCCCAAAAUCCCACAUCAUCUAUCUUCUGUAAUCAUAAUAAUAACCGGCCAACAACAACCAGAAACAUUGUUGAAGACACAAUGUGUUUAUUUGUUGAAGAUGAACCUUAUCCGAAACCUAACCUUACAAAAUCAAUUGCGAAAACAAUGGAACAUGAUGGCAAUGAUGUAUGAAGAAAAUGAUACCUACGUGGAAGAUGAGAUUGGCGACGACGAUAAGACGGCCGAUGGAGAAGACGGCCCACGACGAGAAGAUGGCCGUCGACAAUGACUUUGAGGCUGUUUGUGAUUGAUAAGGUUGACGAAGUGGAGAUUGAACGCGGCGAUUUACAAGAUUGAUGAGAUGAGAUUGAACGCGACGGCAGGUGGAGAUCGACCAGAUGGCUGUCGACGAGCUAUGGAGGAGGCGGAUGCAUCGUUAGGGUUCUGGAUGAGAAUGUUCGUGACUGUUUUUUGAAGAAACAAUUAUGGGGUUUUCUUUUCAGGGUUAAUUUUGAGAAUUCCGUACAAAAUGAGUGGGAUUUGGAUAAUUCGUCCCGUUCUAACGAAAUUUGAAAAGUCUGUUUAGGAAAGAAUUUGGGACUGUCAAAUUUUGUAAUGUCCAUGAAUUUGGUUCAGUACGUGGGAAUUGGUGAAAUUUUGGGCCCAAAUCUUAGGCGGAAAAGCGAUGCCUUAUUUAGUUUUAGCUUUAGAUACUUUCUUUUGUUUUCAGUUUGUUUUAUUGUUGAUUGUUGGUGAUCUUUGCUGUUUGUGGUUAUUUUUUUGGAUGAUUUUCUUUUAUCAUGUGUUGAUUGUUGAAAG
rnacentral:lncRNA from 1 species